rnacentral:rRNA from 1 species
UACGGAGGGAGCUAGCGUUGUUCGGAAUUACUGGGCGUAAAGCGCACGUAGGCGGCUUUGUAAGUUAGAGGUGAAAGCCCGGAGCUCAACUCCGGAAUUGCCUUUAAGACUGCAUCGCUUGAAUCCAAGAGAGGUGAGUGGAAUUCCGAGUGUAGAGGUGAAAUUCGUAGAUAUUCGGAAGAACACCAGUGGCGAAGGCGGCUCACUGGACUGGUAUUGACGCUGAGGUGGCGAAAAGCGUGGGGAGCAAACAGG